CCUACGGGUGGCUGCAGUGGGGAAUAUUGCACAAUGGGCGCGAGCCUGAUGCAGCCAUGCCGCGUGUGUGAAGAAGGCCUUCGGGUUGUAAAGCACUUUCAGCGGGGAGGAAGGCGGUGAGGUUAAUAACCUCAUCGAUUGACGUUACCCGCAGAAGAAGCACCGGCUAACUCCGUGCCAGCAGCCGCGGUAAUACGGAGGGUGCAAGCGUUAAUCGGAAUUACUGGGCGUAAAGCGCACGCAGGCGGUCUGUCAAGUCGGAUGUGAAAUCCCCGGGCUCAACCUGGGAACUGCAUUCGAAACUGGCAGGCUAGAGUCUUGUAGAGGGGGGUAGAAUUCCAGGUGUAGCGGUGAAAUGCGUAGAGAUCUGGAGGAAUACCGGUGGCGAAGGCGGCCCCCUGGACAAAGACUGACGCUCAGGUGCGAAAGCGUGGGGAGCAAACAGGAUUAGAUACCCUUGUAGUC
rnacentral:rRNA from 1 species